rnacentral:lncRNA from 1 species
UCUGCAGUGCCAUCAGCAACAAUAUCUGCAGGACCAUCAGCAUCGCAUCAAGAAUUCCUGCAAUAUCGCUCCCAGCACCCAGGUCCAAUAUCUUCAAGAGCUUUUUACCGGUGGAGUCAAUAUGGGGAAGAUGAUCCCUCAUUUAGAUGGAGGAGACAAGCCCCAUAUGACACCACUGGUAGAAGGAGGGGUGCUGGAAAGCGGUUUAACUCUUUUAAU